rnacentral:rRNA from 1 species
CAGCCGCCGCGGGAAUACGGAGGGUGCAAGCGUUAAUCGGAAUUACUGGGCGUAAAGCGCACGCAGGCGGUCUGUCAAGUCAGAUGUGAAAUCCCCGGGCUUAACCUGGGAACUGCAUCCAAAACUGGCAAGCUAGAGUAUGGUAGAGGGUGGUGGAAUUUCCUGUGUAGCGGUGAAAUGCGUAGAUAUAGGAAGGAACACCAGUGGCGAAGGCGACCACCUGGACUGAUACUGACACUGAGGUGCGAAAGCGUGGGGAGCAAACAGGAUUAGAUACCCGCGUAGUCCCUGUCUCUUAUAC